GCCGUUACCGGUAACCCCGGUCGUUAUGAUGG
rnacentral:scRNA from 1 species